rnacentral:rRNA from 1 species
GACGAACGCUGGCGGCGUGCCUAAUACAUGCAAGUCGAACGCAGUGGGGACGGGUGAGUAACACGUGGGUAACCUCCCAUCAGAGGGGAUAACACUUGGAAACAGGUGCUAAACCGAUACUGAUGGAUGGACCCGCGGUGCAUUAGCUAGUUGGUGAGGUAACGGCUCACCAAGGCCACGAUGCAUAGCCUGCCGGAGAGGGUGAUCGGCAAGACGGGGACUGGGACACGGCACAACCUCCGACGGGCGGCAGGAGUAGGGAAUUGUCGGCAAUGGACGAAAGUCUGACCGAUUAACGCCGCGUGAGUGAAGAAGGUUUGCGGAUAGUAAAACUCUGUUGUUAGGGAAGCGGUAUCUAACCAGAAAGCCACGGCUAACUACGUGCCAGCAGCCGCGGUAAUAC